CAGAGAUCCUCUGCCACCUGAGCUCAGGCCCUGGCUCUGGCCACCAGACUGCUUCCUCCAGUGGCCUGGGUGCCUCCAACCCACUGUGCUCAAAUGAUCUCGGGUCCCAGUCCUGUCCUGCCAGAGGCAGGCCCAGCCCCACCUCAGAUGCUGAGGCAGUUGUGGAGCAAGGCAUGGCCUCCACCAGGGCUGGGGCGGGGCUGGGAGCCGCAGGGGAGCAGGUGGCUCCUGGCUCCACUGUGCCUUGUGCCCAGCACCCAGGCCGGGCCAGGGUUUCCCUUCUGGGGCUGCUUAGGAGGAAACUGCCCAGUGAGACCCUGCUGACCGGCGCAGGUUGGAGCCCCAGAGCAGACUCAUCUGUCCCGCCUGUCUUUGGGGAGAUGAGCUGGCCUCAGGCCUACUGAGGGGGGGGGUCCUCCAGGAGGAAGCUCACGCCUAUCUGGGCACCAGGCAGGUGAGGGCAGCCAGCCUCAGCCCGAGCAUCAACAGAGGCGGUGGACAGCCGAUGUGUGGGGAAGGGGCCUGAGCCGCCCAACCCAGCCCAGCCAUUAGCUGGGAGCCGAAGAGGCUGAUGCACAGACACAGGCCUCAGGACGGCCAAGGGAACGCUGCCGGCCAGCCCCAGGGAGAAGCCAGGCUUGGGCUAUGGGGAGUGGGCUCCGUUCCACCAGGUCACUGAGACCCUAGCCAAGCCACUAGGCUGUCUGAGGACCAGGAUGGGGCCUGUAUCUGUCCCUCACAUCUCACCCCCGAGGCAAGUG